GACUGUACAAAGGUAGCAUAAUCAUUUGUCUUUUAAUUGAAGGCUGGUAUGAAUGGUUGGAUGAAAAAUAUACUUUCUUUAUUUUAUAAAAAAAAAUUGAUUUUUCAGUUAAAAAGCUGAAAUUAUUUUAGAGGACGAGAAGACCCUAUAGAACUUUACUUUUAUUUUAUAUAAAAUUUUUAUAUUUUUAUAAUUUUAUAUAAAUUAUAUUAGUUUUGUUGGGGUGACAGAAAAAAUUAUAUAACUUUUUCUAAUAUUAGCAUUUAUUUAUGUUUUUUUGAUCCUUUAUUAUGGAUAAUAAGAUUAAGUUACCUUAGGGAUAACAGCGUUAUUUUUUCGGAGAGUUCAUAUUGAUGAAAAAGUUUGCGACCUCGAUGUUGGAUUAAAAUAAGUUGCGGAGGCAUAAUAUUGCAUACUAGGUCUGUUCGACCUUUAAAUUUUUACA
rnacentral:rRNA from 1 species